CUGUCUGCGACAACACGCGUUAUAGACAGAGGACACACACACACACAGAGCCUAUUGAUCCAAGCUCGCUGCUGCCACAAUCCUCGAUCUUUUAUUUCAUCCUUACAAACGGCCGGAUUGCUGAUUAAAUCUCCCUCUCGUGUUAUUGACGUAAUUGAUGAGUAUCGCUUUUUUUUCCCCCUCUCUCUUUUUUUUUCAAUCCGACCCCCGAAUUAGAACCGGGAUUCGGCUGUUCGCUGCUUUACACACCUCGGUGUACUCUGGUUUUCGUGAAAGGAUGGAUUGAAAUCUAAUGCAUCUGCCUGGUGAGCUUCACUGACGUCAGGACUCGGAAGCCUGUGACUGGACUGGAGCUGGGUUUGUGGAUAUUUCUAAAUAUAAUCGCUGUCCCUGCCCGGUGCACAGUGCCCGCUGCCCAGUGCUCGCUGCCCGUUCACGACUCAUUAGCAUUCGGCAGCAAAGCACACGGACGGAGCACGUAUGUGAAACUGACGAGGAGAGUAAAGUUCACCGCCCGGAAUCCCUGGCUGCUGCUGCUGCUGCUGGGGACUCGGUCCAGCUCACUUCUAGUUUCUUUGUUAUUCGGAUCGUGGACUCAACUAUGAAUAAAUCGCCCCUUUGGCUUCCCGCUGUUGACAAGCUGCCGAUACAACAAUAACCAUGUCGGUUCGCAUCGUGGCGUUGGGCAACGAGAAAGGGGGCUUCGAAGAAAGCUUGCAGCAACCGGAUCUGAUCACCACCUAUUUCGGCAGACAUGCUAUUAUCCGGCACAUUGAAGAGAGGCGGCUGCUGGGUUUAGCUACCCACAACGGAUUCCCUGCAUUCGUCGAGUACCAGGCGUAUGUCUUCGGCAGAGUCCGGGUACUAAUUCACGACUGUCCCAGUUGGGAAUUAUUCGACAAUGACUGGUAUAGGUCUCGGAAUAUAGUUGGGCUGGCAGACAUCAUUGUUCUCAAAUAUUCCGUCAAUGACAAAAACACAUUUCAAGAAGUGAAAGAUAACUACGUGCCGAUGAUUAAGAGGAUACUGAACCAGUGGACUGUUCCAGUGAUAAUUGCUGCUAUUGGUACAAGACAAAAUGAAGAGAGUCCACCUUGUUCGUGCCCAUUGUGCACAUCAGAUAAAGGGAGCUGCGUGCCAUUCUAUGAAGGAUUAGAACUGUCAAAAGAAAUUGGAGCUGCCUACUUGGAACUUCAUAGUCUCAAUGACUUCAAUGUGGGGAAGUACUUUGGAGGAGUGUUGGAAUACUUCAUCAUCCAAUGUUUAAAGCAGAAGUCCUCUGAGAAGAAAAAGAAAAGGAGUAGCAGACCCCAACUAAUUCCACCACCUAGACUUAAGGAGCCAGUCAAAUUACCAUGUUUAAAGAUUGAGACAUCCCGGUUCCACGGUGACUUGCUUAGCCUUUUCUGCAGCUCUUCAUGUACAGACGUGGUCUUCUCUUCCAAGGAUGGGCAAGAGGUGGCUAGAGCUCACAGACUUGUGCUGUGCACAGCAAACUAUGUCUUCAUGCUACUGUUUGGUGUGGUGAUUCCUGGCAACUCUGGCGAAUUACCUGGGAAGAUUGCUCACAAUCUGUUUCUAAUAGAAAAGGACAAUGCAAUGAACUUCGGUCAAACGUUACUUCAAAACAUCCUGCCAGUAAGGGUCAUCAUUUUAGACUCACUGCUGUGUGUCUGCUUCUCAGAGGUCUUGAAGUUCAUAUAUGCAGGGACUGACAACUGGGAUGAAUUAAAAUCGGUCCUCUGGAAGAAGUUAAAACAUCUAGAAGAAGUCAGGCAAGUGUUGGAAACACUCAAACUACUCUUCAGAUGCAACACUAAGGCAUUUUAUUCCAAUGGGAUUGACUAUCAAACAGCAAAACGCAAGGAACAAUCUCAACGCUGCUGCUGUUCUUUAAGCCUUUUCCUCAAAAACCCUAACUUGGCUGAUGUCAUCUUUGAAGUACAAGAUAUCUCUGUAUAUGCUCAUAAAGCUGUCUUGGUGGCUCGUUGCGAUGUUAUGGCUGCAAUGUUUAGCGGAAACUAUUCUGAAACAAAUGCGUGUAAUAUUCCUAUUCACGGUGUUUCCAAGGAAACCUUCCUCUCUUUCUUGGAGUACCUGUACACUGAUUCAUGCUGCACAGCCAGCAUUCUCCAAGCGAUGGCUCUUCUUAUAUGUGCUGAAAUGUACCAAAUACAUAGGCUACAGCAGAUAUGUGAAUCAUGCAUUGUUACACAGUUACAGAGCAUGCCCAGCAGAGAACUUGUAUCAACCAACCUCAACAUUGUCAACUUGUUUAACAAGGCAAAGGUAAGGCUACAUGUUCAGAUAAUAGAACGUUUUCUACCUUUUACAGUAGUUAGAGAUGCAGUGUGGCCCUUCAGCCCACACAGUCUGUGCCGAUUAGCGAUCACCCCACACACUGACACUAUCAUACACCACAAGGGGCAACUUCAUUUUUUUUACCAAAGCCAAUUAACCUGCAAACCUGUAUAUCUUUGGAGUGUGGGAGGAAACAAGCACCUGAUGCAGUAGAGUAGAAUGAGAAGAUGCACCAAGAGAUUGAUGUUUAGACCAUUUUAAUUAUAAUGGUUAUUAAAAAGGCACAUAGAUAGCCAGAGUCAGUGUGAAGUGAGGUAAUGAAUUCCAUUUUACAUUUGGAAGACCAUUAAAAUUGUAGAACAUGAUUCAGUUACAUUUAUAUAAUGAAAGCAGAAUGAGAAUUGAAGUACUAAAUCAAAAGAUUGGAUAUGUCAAUGCAAGUGCCUUUUAAGAUUGUCUGAGAUAUUCAAUAAUUUAUAUGUGGGUUAACAUAGGCAAACCUUUGAGCAAAAUGUUAAUGGUUUUGCAUGUAUUAAAUGGCGAGUAUCUCCAUGAACUAUAUAAGUCAAUUUUGUAUUCGACACAGCCCAUCUCCUGUAUUCAUCGCCAUGUAUUCCCCAUGGCACACUCACCUUUUGUGCUCCCAUAGAUGCAAUUGAGUUGGAGGUCUUCGUCCCAGUUGUCCCAUGAAGCGGAGUGGUGCUUGAGGAGGUUGAUCCUAAGACCCUAUCUCUGGAAUAGCCUAAUGGUCUUGUGACACCUGAUGGUAUCAAAAGAUCUUUUCAAUUGUUCCCAAAAGCCUCUAAUGAUCAGCAACAUUUGAAAACUGUCGAAAUAGAAUUAGCUACA